UCAGUGUACUAAUACUACAACUUCACAAUCUCUCUGUUUUCGUCCUUCCUCAACUCAACUCAACUCAGUUUCAAUUAAAGGCACACAUUCCCAAACACACCAACCUCUCACAACGCCACCGCAAUGGACCUUCGCCGCUUAACUCUCCUUUCUCUAUUACAGGUUUGCUUAAUUUUAUCUUUAACAGAAGCACAAUCGGCAUCUAAUGAUAAAACACUACGGGAAAGACAUUCUGAGGAUUAUUGUGCAAUGUAUGAUAUUUGUGGAAAGCGAAGUGACGGUAAAGUAGUGAAUUGUCCAUAUGGUUCUCCUGCUGUGAAGCCAGAUGAUUUGCUUUCAUCGAAGAUCCAAAGUUUGUGUCCGACUAUUACUGGGAACGUUUGCUGUUCAGAAGCUCAGUUUGAAACAUUAAGGCAGCAAGUGCAACAGGCAAUUCCUUUUCUUGUAGGUUGUCCAGCAUGCUUAAGAAAUUUUCUGAAUCUAUUCUGCGAGCUUACUUGCUCUCCAAAUCAGAGUUUAUUUAUCAAUGUGACUUCAGUUGACAAGGUUGGUGGUAAUUUGACAGUGGGUGGCAUCGAUUAUUUUGUAAGUGACACAUUUGGCGAAGGGUUAUAUGACUCCUGCAAGGAUGUAAAGUUUGGCUCCGCGAAUACUCGAGCCAUGGACUUACUUGGCGCUAGGGCUAAGAAUGUUAAAGAGUGGUUUACUUUUAUUGGUAAAAAAGCAACCCCUGGUGGUCUUGGUUCACCAUAUGCAAUUGCCUUCCAGCCAAAUGCAACCAAGUCAUCUGGAAUGGAACCUAUGAAUGUUUCAGCCUAUUCAUGCGGUGAUAUUUCUCUUGGCUGUUCUUGUGGUGACUGUCCUUCAUCUUCAGUGUGCUCUAGUUCAUCUUCAACUACCACCCAAAAGAGGGAUUCAUGCUCCUUGAAAAUUGGGAAUUUAAUGGUGAAGUGUGUUGACUUGAUUUUAACAGUCUUAUACAUCAUACUGAUAUGUGUGCUCUUGGGUUGGGGAUUGUAUCAUCGGAAAAGGGAAAGAAAGCCGGCAUAUAGAACAAAGUCGGUGUCUAAUGUCAUUAGUGGCGGCGUACUGUAUUCUCGUAAUCAGGAGAAGGACGAGAACCUCCCAAUGCAUCAGAUUAUUGAAGAUGUUUCACAAAAUAGAAACGAAGUACGACUCUCACCUGUGCAAGGAUACAUGUCAAAUUUUUACAGGAAGUAUGGAUCAUACGUAGCUAGAAACCCAAUUAUGGUCUUGGCUACAUCUUUGGUUAUAGUUAUUCUACUUUGUCUGGGUCUAAUCAGAUUAAAGGUUGAAACGCGGCCUGAGAAGCUCUGGGUGGGACCUGGGAGUAAAGCGGCUGAAGAGAAGCAGUUUUUUGACAGCCAUCUUGCUCCAUUUUACAGAAUUGAACAGCUCAUACUGGGAACAGUUCCAGAUCAUGUGAAUAGUACAUCAUCAAGAAUUGUGUCAGAGGACAACAUUAGGUUUCUGUUUGAAGUACAAAAGAAGGUUGAUGCAAUUCGUGCUAAUUAUUCUGGCUUGAUGGUAUCUCUCCAAGACAUCUGUAUGAAGCCACUAGACAAAGAUUGUGCCACACAAAGCAUUCUUCAGUACUUCAAAAUGGAUCCCAACAAUUUCGACAAUUAUGGUGGAGUUGAGCAUCUCAAUUACUGUUUUGAGCAUUAUUCCUCAGCAGAUAAAUGUCUGAGUGCAUUUAAAGGUCCUCUUGAUCCAAGCACUGUAUUAGGAGGUUUUUCUGGGAAUAACUAUUCUGCGGCUUCUGCAUUUAUUGUAACCUACCCAGUAAAUAAUGCUAUUGAUGAAGAAGGCAAUGAAAUUGCAAAGACAGUUGCUUGGGAGAAGACCUUUAUUCAGUUAGUGAAGGACGAGUUGUUACCAAUGGCACAGUCAAAAAAUUUGACACUUGCUUUUUCAUCUGAAAGCUCUAUUGAGGAAGAAUUGAAAAGAGAAAGUACUGCAGAUGUUAUUACUAUAUUGGUCAGCUAUCUUGUGAUGUUUGCUUAUAUAUCUCUUACUUUAGGGGAUACACCCCAGCUUUCUUCUUUCUAUAUUUCAUCUAAGGUAUUGCUUGGUCUUUCAGGAGUAAUUCUUGUCAUGCUGUCUGUCCUUGGAUCUGUUGGAAUUUUUAGUGCUCUUGGUGUAAAAUCUACUCUGAUCAUCAUGGAAGUUAUCCCAUUUCUUGUUCUAGCUGUUGGGGUGGAUAAUAUGUGUAUACUGGUUCAUGCUGUGAAAAGGCAAGAGCUGGAGUUGCCUUUAGAAAGAAGGAUAAGCAAUGCACUUGUUGAAGUUGGACCAUCAAUAACAUUGGCUAGUUUAUCAGAGGUUAUAGCAUUUGCAGCUGGAAGCUUUAUUUCCAUGCCCGCAUGUCGUGUCUUCUCCAUGUUUGCAGCAUUGGCCGUCCUUUUAGACUUUCUCCUGCAAGUUACUGCAUUCGUAGCUCUGAUAGUUCUUGACUCUUUAAGAGCAGAGGAUAAGAGGGUUGAUUGUUUCCCAUGCAUAAAAGUGCCUUCUUUGCAUGCAGACCCUGAUAAAGGCACUGAACAAAGGAAACCUGGUUUGUUGGCUAGAUACAUGAAGGAGGUUCAUGCUCCAAUUCUAAGUAUUUGGGGAGUAAAAAUAGUUGUCAUUGCAAUUUUUGUGGCAUUUGCAUUGGCUAGCAUUGCUUUGAGCACUAGAAUUGAACCUGGAUUGGAGCAGGAGAUUGUUCUUCCCCGAGACUCAUAUCUUCAGGGGUAUUUUAAAAAUGUUUCAGAAUAUCUCAGAAUUGGGCCACCUUUGUAUUUUGUUGUGAAGAACUAUAACUACAGCUCCGAAUCAACACAUACAAAUCAGCUUUGCUCCAUAAGCCAAUGCAAUUCAGACUCUCUUUUAAAUGAGAUCUCUAAAGCGGCCCUAGUACCAGACACAAGUUAUAUUGCCAAACCAGCUGCUUCUUGGCUCGAUGAUUUUCUUGUGUGGGUAUCUCCAGAAGCAUUUGGGUGCUGCAGGAAGUUCACUAAUGGGAGUUAUUGCCCUCCUGACGACCAGCCUCCUUGCUGUGCUCCUGGAGAAGGCUCUUGUGUUUCACUUGGAGUAUGUAAUGAUUGCACAACGUGUUUCCAUCAUUCAGAUCUCCAUAAAGAUCGUCCUUCCACAACACAAUUUAGGGAGAAAUUGCCGUGGUUUCUUAGUGCUCUUCCAUCUGCUGACUGUGCAAAAGGAGGUCAUGGGGCGUACACCAGCAGUGUUGAACUGAAAGGCUAUGACAGUGGCAUUAUUCAAGCAUCAUCAUUCCGUACAUAUCAUACCCCACUCAACAAGCAGGCCGACUUUGUUAAUUCCAUGAGGGCUGCUCGAGAGUUCAGUUCAAGGGUUUCUGAUUCUUUGAAGAUUGAGAUCUUCCCUUAUUCAGUGUUUUAUAUGUUUUUUGAGCAAUACCUUAAUAUAUGGAAGACUGCACUGGUCAAUCUUGCAAUAGCUAUUGGUGCAGUGUUUAUUGUGUGCUUGGUUAUCACAUGCAGUUUAUGGAGUUCAGCGAUCAUUUUGUUGGUGUUGACAAUGAUUGUUGUUGAUCUUAUGGGUGUGAUGGCCAUUCUAAAUAUCCAAUUGAAUGCCGUCUCAGUUGUCAACCUCGUUAUGUCAGUGGGCAUUGCUGUGGAGUUUUGUGUGCAUAUGACUCAUUCUUUCACUCCAGAUGCAGCAGAUCCGGUUGUAGACUGUGCCAGGCUGGGGCAAGGAAACUACAUGAAUGGAGCAAAUCUUAGCCGUGGCUUGUGCUGGUGUUGGUUUGUAAGAACUGGUUGGGGUUUCCACUGUGUUGGCCUAUGCAUGUGGUGGUUUGAGGGGAACAUGCAGUGUUUGGAAUUGUCUCGUGGGACUGGUGCAUGAACGGGCUUUAAGGGUUUGGGUGCACAGUGUGGCUGGAUGUUUCCGGUGGCAGAGGCAGUCAGGCAGGAACAAUUUUGUUGCGUCUGUGAUGACUUAUCUGGUUAUGUCACCGGUGAAGUUGCCGGAAGUUCUGAAGUUGUCGGAGAUACUGGUGGUGGCUGUUAGUAACCACCCACAACCCACAUGCCCCAAACCCCAGCAUGUUUCUGUAUGCUCUCGCCAUUGCAACAGCAGCCUCCCUAGCACGCCUCCAUAGCGCGAUUCCAUAAUUGCGCCUAGCCAUCACACCGCCUUCAGGCCCUUUCCCACUCCAACCAACACAAUCUCGUGUGGAUGGUCCCUCCAUCGAUGAAUAGUCACAAAUUACCUGCAAGUCUCUCGGCCCUUUUUCUUUUCAUCCGAUGUAGUGUGCAGCUUCUAGAAUAUUCAAGUCUAGGAAUGGAGGAGGUAACCAAAUUAAAUCUUUGGGUUUAUCUCAACUCAAGCCCACUGGCCCAAAAACAUGCCACUCACGAAAUUGGUACCCAUUCUUUCCUGUGGAGGAACUAAUGAGCCACUUCAUGUGGCAGAUGUGGCAGUGGGAGGAAGAUGGGGAGGAGCAGGUGGGGGAUGAGGAAGAGCAGCGCUGUGAAGCUGCAGCAACUGGACAGUGGUGGUGCAGAAGGCAGCCUGAAACCGAAAGGGGAUGGGGAAUAACAAUUUUAAGCCACAUGCCUUCAUAAGAUCUGGACCAUUGGUGAAUUACAAGCUGUAUCAUAUGCAACAGUGGAUGCUCAGUUGCAACUGGAGAUAAAGAUCAGCGUGUUAAG